rnacentral:rRNA from 1 species
GAGUUUGAUCAUGGCUCAGGACGAACGCUGGCGGCACGCCUAACACAUGCAAGUCGAACGGAGAUAUUUUGGUUUACUGAGAUAUCUUAGUGGCGGACGGGUGAGUAACACGUGAGCAACCUGCCUCUGAGAGAGGGAUAGCUUCUGGAAACGGAUGGUAAUACCUCAUAACAUAACGAAGCCGCAUGACUUUGUUAUCAAAGAUUUAUCACUCAGAGAUGGGCUCGCGUCUGAUUAGAUAGUUGGUGAGGUAACGGCUCACCAAGUCGACGAUCAGUAGCCGGACUGAGAGGUUGAACGGCCACAUUGGGACUGAGACACGGCCCARACUCCUACGGGAGGCARCAGUGGGGAAUAUUGCACAAUGGGGGAAACCCUGAUGCAGCGAUGCCGCGUGGAGGAAGAAGGUUUUCGGAUUGUAAACUCCUGUCUUAAAGGACSAWAAUGACGGUACUUUWGGAGGAAGCUCCGGCUAACUACGUGCCAGCAGCCGCGGUAAUACGYAGGGAGCGAGCGUUGUCCGGAAUUACUGGGUG